AUUGAACGCUGGCGGCAUGCUUUACACAUGCAAGUCGAACGGGGUGAAGGGGCAACUCUUCAUUCAGUGGCGAACGGGUGAGUAAUACAUCGGAACGUACCCCGUAGUGGGGGAUAACUCGGCGAAAGCCGUGCUAAUACCGCAUAUGCUCUACGGAGGAAAGCAGGGGACCGCAAGGCCUUGUGCUAUGGGAGCGGCCGAUGUCCGAUUAGCUAGUUGGUGAGGAAUGGCUCACCAAGGCGACGAUCGGUAGCUGGUCUGAGAGGAUGAUCAGCCACACUGGGACUGAGACACGGCCCAGACUCCUACGGGAGGCAGCAGUGGGGAAUUUUGGACAAUGGGGGCAACCCUGAUCCAGCCAUGCCGCGUGCGGGAAGAAGGCCU
rnacentral:rRNA from 1 species